AACAAACGCUGGCGGCGUGUCUUAAGCAUGCAAGUCGAGCGGCAAGGGCAGCAAUGCCCCUAGAGCGGCGGACUGGUGAGUAACGCGUGGGUGAUCUACCUAGGGCAUGGGGAUAGCCACUAGAAAUAGUGGGUAAAUACCGAAUACGUUCGCAUGGAUGCGUCCAUGCGAGGAAAGGUGCUACGGCACCGGCCUAUGAUGAGCUUGCGUCUGAUUAGCUAGUUGGUGAGGUAAAGGCCCACCAAGGCGAUGAUCGGUAGCCGGCCUGAGAGGGUGAACGGCCACACUGGGACUGAGACACGGCCCAGACUCCUACGGGAGGCAGCAGUGGGGAAUCUUCCGCAAUGGGCGCAAGCCUGACGGAGCAACGCCGCGUGGGUGAAGAAGGCCUUCGGGUUGUAAAGCCCUGUCUUAUGGGAAGAAGUCAGUGACGGUACCAUAGGAGGAAGCCACGGCUAACUACGUG
rnacentral:rRNA from 1 species